rnacentral:rRNA from 1 species
GCAAAAUUCAAAUUUCUACCACAAUCUCUAAAGAAAAUUCUCACCUUACAAAGUAUUUUAUAAAAAAUUACCAAGAUUUAUUCAACCGCAAGGGCUAACACUCAGCUUUUUCAAGAAAUGAUAAUUCCAUGUCCCUUUUGCAUCAUGGAGAAGCAACAAAAACAUAGCAACCUACAUUCCCGAAUGACUAUGAGCUACUAACCCUUAAAAAUCAAUGUUUCAUAAUUGAUAAAGUAACUUUUAGUAGAAGUAACAAGCCUUUCAUAUAGUCAUAUAGCUGGUUUUUCUUCAAAAGCAUCAAAGUGCUAGCUUAUGGCAUAAUCCACCACUUUAGGUCAUAAAGCUUAGCCUAUUGAGGAUAAGCUCAAUAGGGCCUUAAAAAUUCUUUACCCCUUAACAUCGUUAGUAGGCUCAAAAGCAGCCACCCCAUAACGUUUUAGUUACUGAAACCUCUCAUAUAAUAUUUAUACAUUCUAUUUUAAAGCCAAAGAAAUUUAACAAAAAAUUUUACUGUUACUAAACAGGCAUUCUAUUAGUAUUAACAAAACCUAUUACCCAAUAAUCCUAAAAAAAUUUGGAUUAAAACACAAUUUUUUGCAUAAACUAUGCAAAGCGAACUCGGCAAAUCAGUUCCCUGCCUGUUUACCAAAAACAUCGUCUUUUGAUAAUCUCUCAUAAAAGAUAAUGCCUGCCCAGUGAAAUUUUAAACGGCCGCGUUAGCGUGAGCGUGCUAAGGUAGCGUAAUAAUUAGCCUUUUAAUUGGAGGCCAGUGAAUGGCAAGACUAGGAACACCUUUACUUUGCAUACAAAAAAAACUUUUCGUCUAAGCGAAAAGACUUAGAUGAUAAAGGUAGACGAAAAGACCCCGCGGAACUUUACCUUUUCCUGUACUACGACACAUCCGUCUAAAAGUAUUUAAGGUUUGAUUGGGGCAAUCUUGGAACCAACAAAGCUUCCAACUUACUUAAAAAAUCUAUAUAAAAUUUACUAAAGACCAAAAAGAAGUUACCCCGGGGAUAACAGCGUAAUCCAACUAAAGAGUACGUAUCGAAAGUUGGGUUUGCGACCUCGAUGUUGGCUUAAGGAUAUCCACAUUAGUGCAACCGCUAUGACAGGAUAGUCUGUUCGACUAUUAUACCCUUACACGAGCUGAGUUAAGACCGGCGCAAGCUAGGUUGGUUUCUAUCUCCUUUACUAAAAUUCUUCUUGAUUGUACGAAAGGACCCCAAGAGCUGCACCAUUAAAAAGCAUUCUUAAAUUUAAGUUUAUUUCAC